GAUGAACGCUAGCGGCAGGCCUAACACAUGCAAGUCGAGGGGCAGCAUAAAAUAAACUUGUUUAUUUGGUGGCGACCGGCGCACGGGUGCGUAACGCGUAUGCAACCUACCUUAUACUGGGGAAUAGCCCGAAGAAAUUCGGAUUAAUGCCCCAUAGUACUGAGACUUCUCCUGGGGAUUCAGUUAAAGCUUUGGCGGUAUAAGAUGGGCAUGCGUCCAAUUAGCUAGAUGGUGAGGUAACGGCUCACCAUGGCGACGGUUGGUAGGGGGCCUGAGAGGGUGGUCCCCCACACUGGUACUGAGACACGGACCAGACUCCUACGGGAGGCAGCAGUGAGGAAUAUUGGUCAAUGGGCGCAUGCCUGAACCAGCCAUGCCGCGUGAAGGAUGAAGGUUCUAUGGAUUGUAAACCUCUGUCACUGGGGAGAAAACGCUUUGAGUUAAUAGUUCAAAGCCUGAUUUAACCCGGAGAGGAAGCAGUGGCUAACUCUGUGCCAGCCGCCGCCGUAACAC
rnacentral:rRNA from 1 species